GCAAUGGUGGUUCAGUGGUAGAAUUCUUGUCUUCCGUGCGGGAGACCCGGGUUCAAUUCUCAGCCAAUGGA
rnacentral:tRNA from 1 species